rnacentral:tRNA from 1 species
GAUAGCCUAAUGGUUAGGGCACUCACCUUGGAUGUGGGAAAAGCAGGUUCAAGUUCCUGCUC